CCGGCUCUUGCUUCAACAGUGAUUGAACGGAGCCUC
rfam:Alligator sinensis unplaced genomic scaffold scaffold647_2, whole genome shotgun sequence